AUGCAGGAAUUCACAUCCCCACUUAUAGGCGAAGGGCCUGGGAAGAGAAAUGUCAAGGAGCUUGCUGAAAGGUCACAGAGGAUAUUUGCUUUCGCAGCUCCCAUUCCCAAGCCAGAAGCGCAAGCAGUCAGACACCUUCGCUCAAGCAGAGAGAAGGUGGAGUGCCGUCAAGCCAAGUGUCCAAGAACAUCGGCUUAUAAAAGCAAGAGCACAAACAUUUGAUGAGAAUUGUCCAAGCUAGAAGUCAUUCCUUCAGAAUGCAAUCAUGCUGUCCUUAAAGUGGAAAGUGAAGAAAACCGCAGCUCAGUGAUUUUGUGUCACAACUACCUUCUAGAAGAAUGAAUGGCUUUGUCACCUCCGAGCAGAAAUAAGAGGAAUCGGUCCUCUCCCAGAGUGUCCCUCUGGAGCUGACAGUACUUAGCCAGCAAGGUUUCCACAAGCAUGUGUGGAGUGACAUGUUUGAGGACCGAUGUCAUCACUAAAGACCUGGUGAGAGGACAUUCAAAAAGAAACUCUGGAUAAGGAGUAAAAAGAGGAAAAGACAAAUUAACAGCUUUCUGCACCUCCUGCUGCCUCCUUAUGCCACCUCUGUGACACCUUGGUCAAUUAGGAGAAAAAUUAGAAUCUGAGAUUGGCAUUCCAGAAUCCCCACCGCCUAGAGGCAGGGGGCCCGUAUCCCAGAGGAUGCCGCGGGUGGUGAGAAGCAAACAGCUUCAAUAAGGGAGACAGAUGAGCUUGGGUUUCAGCCUGAGCUCAUCCAGGGACUGCGCCAACCACUGAAUCUCUCUAGACCAGAACUCCCUUCUAGAGAACGGGGCUAGGGAUAAAUCAUACCUGCAUGCCUGGAUCAAAUGAGAUGAAGAAUCUAGAGGCCUUGACUGCCAUUCAUUGCUCAUCUGUUUGUUCAUUUGAUGAAUAAAGAUUGAAGGCUGACUCCA
rnacentral:lncRNA from 12 species